UUGCACGCUGGCGGCAGGCCUAACACAUGCAAGUCGAACGGUAACAGGAAGAAGCUUGCUUCUUUGCUGACGAGUGGCGGACGGGUGAGUAAUGUCUGGGAAACUGCCUGAUGGAGGGGGAUAACUACUGGAAACGGUAGCUAAUACCGCAUAACGUCGCAAGACCAAAAAGGGGGACCUUCGGGCCUCUUGCCAUCGGAUGUGCCCAGAUGGGAUUAGCUAGUAGGUGGGGUAACGGCUCACCUAGGCGACGAUCCCUAGCUGGUCUGAGAGGAUGACCAGCCACACUGGAACUGAGACACGGUCCAGACUCCUACGGGAGGCAGCAGUGGGGAAUAUUGCACAAUGGGCGCAAGCCUGAUGCAGCCAUGCCGCGUGUAUGAAGAAGGCCUUCGGGUUGUAAAGUACUUUCAGCGGGGAGGAAGGGAGUAAAGUUAAUACCUUUGCUCAUUGACGUUACCCGCAGAAGAAGCACCGGCUAACUCCGU
rnacentral:rRNA from 1 species